UAAUCGCGGAUCAGCAUGCUGCGGUGAAUACGUUCCCGGGCCCUUGUACACACCGCCCGUCACACCAUGGGAGCCGGUAAUACCCGAAGUCAGUAGUCCAACCUCGUGAGGACGCUGCCGAAGGUAGGAUUGGCGACUGGGGUGAAGUCGUAACAAGGUAAC
rnacentral:rRNA from 1 species